CCAUGGAAACUUAAGUUUAAUACGUUUUCGAAGGGCCAGGGCUAUGUUGUUCUCGCUCUUGGCCAGUCCAAGGCUUCCUGUUCGUGCCCUUCCAGGAAAAACAAUGACAAAGAUACAAAUCCUCCAGAAGAGAAAUUUGCUUGGCUGUUCUUGUCUCUGCAGAAUGUCAAUGUGCUUGGCAGGCAAGAGGAGGGGAAGGACAGCGGAUAUGUAUUAACUGCCGACUGCAUACCUUGAUCUCAUUAUCCAAGAACCCUGCAAGCCUCACCUUUUUUUUUUUGAGAUGAGGAAACAAGUUCAGAGAGGUUAGUUUAAUUGUCCAAGGUCACAUAGCUAACAAGUGACAGAGCUGGGAUCCAAACCCAGGUCUGUCUGAGUCCAGUUCUUUCCACAUCGGGCCUUGGGCUGGUGAGACCAGGUGAGCACACUGAGUAGGCCUGAAUGGCCCCGAGGCUCCCCAGGGUUUUAGCUACUCCUCGGAUGAAAGCUGGUCUCUGUUGGGGGGGUCUGCUGACUUUUCCAGACCCUGGGGGUGUGCUGGGUGCAGUGAUGUGGAAGAGUCAUGUUUUAAGACAGUCCCAAUGGUCGGAAGAUUUCCCAAUGCCAGCGAAUCUAGUAAAGACAGAAGGAGUUUGGGUCUUGAGACAAGCUCAUUAGCACUCAUUCCGUUUGGGUGAAAUCAAUUAGGGCUAACUGGAAGGUACAGCCUCUGCUCUCUGUUGACUCUUGAAAUGAGAGACUGAUGGUGGCUACCAGUUAUCACGGAGGCAUGCUCAGGGGCACAGACUCUGAUGACAGAGUCUAGGCUGUGAAUCCUGCCCCUGCUGCUCUGUGGCCAGUUGCUUGGUAGGAGGACUCUGCAGGGUUCUGGAGGGUGACCGUGUGUGUCCCCUAAGACCCCUGUGGGUCUCAGGCAACUCAGAACGGACUGGGCCUUGCAGGUUCCACCCGGCCUGACUGCCCAGGCCUGCGCCAGAGAACGCCCGGGUGACGUGCCCAGUGACGGCACAAAGGAAGAGCCUCACACCCCGGGUUACACCCAGGGUUACGCAGAGCAGCAUGACACUGUGACCUUGUCUUCGGUGCUUUUACCAUCUGCUGGGUGCUGCCUACUAGACUACAAGCUCAGUGCGGGAGGCCUUUUCUUCUCUCUUCUUGUUUCCGCUGUGCUUGAGUGGGUUACCUGAGGUUGGCUGACAGAUAUGUCUGGAUCCUCCAGGACUGGACACGUCAGUGGGAGUUAGAAGCCCAGCAAGAGGAAACCAAGGCAUUAGGAAGAGUACGUUUUAGGAUCAGGUAAAAACUAGCUGCCAGCACAGGGAGGGAAGCCUUGGUUUUCCCAUCUGUGGAAUGAGGCGAUGAGCAUGAGGUGGUGCACCUAAGUGCUUAGCAGAAUUCUCGGCACACAGCGCCCACCGGAGUGAGUGCAUAGCGCUUCUACAACCACCCCCGGCGACUUGCGUGGUUCUUCAUGUCUCCGUGGGAACUUUUACAUUUUUUUUUGACUGUGACCCACACCACAACCUUCUAAUGUGUGUGCAUGUCUCUUUAAAUAUAACCGAACUAUAAAUUUUGUGAACUAAGACCCUUACUAUGUGUGAUGAACUUUGACGGUUUGCAUUGUGUUCAGUUUUGUUGAAAGAAUCCUAAAGGGGCAAAGAGUUACUUUCUGGGGUGACCGACAUAUUCUGUAUUUUGAUGAAGGUGGUGGUGGCAUGGAUGUCUUUGCCCAAAAUCGUUGAACUCUGUAUUAAAAUGGGUGCCUUUUAUUGCAUGUCAGUUAGAUCUCAGUAGAUUUGCAACCCUCUAAUUUUUAUUGAGAUACAAUUCACAUUUCACAAAACUCACCCUUUUAAAGUGGAUACUUAAGUGAUUUUUAGUAUAGUCACAGAGCAACUGUGACCACAGUCCAAGGUCAGAACAUUUUCAUUACUCCAAAAAGAAGCCCCGUACCCAUUAACAGUCACUUCCCAUCCCCCCAACCCUAGUCCCUGGCAACCACUAAUCUACUUUCUGUCUCUGUGGAUUCGCUGGUUUCAGUCUUGCGUGGCCGGGAGAGCAGCCUUUGAAGUUAGACUGGUUACUGGGCCUCUCAGGGGCCACCACUCACCACAACUGGGAUUUCUCUAUUUGGUCCUGGCACUGGGUGGUGAACUCCAAGAGCAUCAGAGACGCUGGCAGAUGACUCACACCCUGUGUCCCCACCUCCUUCCUACACAGACCCCAGGCCCGUUCAGUCCUCCGGAAGUGCCCCUUGCUCUCCUGGUGAAGAUCUGGACGAUGAUGCACCAGUGAAGGAGUGGAGAAUGGACUUUCCAAAGUCCAUGGGCAAACCCAUCACAGAAAUGGAAAGAAGUGAUACAUUCACAUAGAAAAUCUUCCCAUUCUUGCCCUCAUCUGCAGAGAUACCCUCUCCGCAUGCUGCAGAAAAAUAUGGCAGUUGGCACAAAAACAGACACAUAGACCAGUGGAAUAGAAUAGAGACUCCAGAACUGGACCCACAAAAGUAUGGCCAACUAAUCUUUGACAAAGCAGGAAAGAAUAUCCAAUGGAAAAAAGACAGUCUCUUUAACAAAUGGUGCUGAGAACUGGACAGCAACAUGCAGAAGGAUGAAACUAGACCACUUUCUCACACCAUUCACAAAAGUAAACUCAAAAUGGAUAAAGGACCUGAAUGUGAGACAGGAAACCAUCAAAACCCUAGAGGAGAAAGCAGGAAAAAACCUCUCUGACCUCAGCCGCAGCAAUUUCUUACUUGACACAUCUCCAAAGGCAAGGGAAUUAAAAGCAAAAAUGAACUAUUGGGACCUCAUGAAGAUAAAAAGCUUCUGCACUGCAAAGGAAACAAUCAACAAAACUAAAAGGCAACUCACGGAAUGGGAAAAGAUAUUUGCAAAUGACAUCAGAUAAAGGGCUAGUAUCCAAAAUCUAUAAAGAACUCACCAAACUCCACACCGGAAGAACAAAUAAUCCAGUGAAGAAAUGGGCAGAAGACAUGAAUAGAUACUUCUCUAAAGAAGGCAUCCAGAUGGCCAACAGGCACAUGAAAAGAUGCUCAAUGCCGCUCCUCAUCAGGGAAAUACAAAUCAAAACCACACUCAGAUAUCACCUCACGCCAGUCAGAGUGGCUAAAAUGAACAAAUCAGGAGACUAUAGAUGCUGGAGAGGAUGUGGAGAAACGGGAACCCUCUUGCACUGUUGGUGGGAAUGCAAACAGGUGCAGCCACUUUGGAAAACAGUGUGGAGGUUCCUCAAAAAAUUACAAAUAGAUCUACCCUAUGACCCAGCAAUAGCACUGCUAGGAAUUUACCCGAGGGAACAGGAGUGCUGAUGCAUAGGGGCACUUGUACCCCAAUGUUUAUAGCAGCACUUCCAACUAUAGCCAAAUUAUGGAAAGAGCCUAAAUGUGCAUCAACUGAUGAAUGGAUAAAGAAAUUGUGGUUUAUAUACACAAUGGAGUACUACGUGGCAAUGAGAAAGAAUGAAAUGUGGCCCUUUGUAGCAAUGUGGAUGGAACUGGAGAGUGUUGUGCUAAGUGAAAUAAGUCAUACAGAGAAAGACAGAUACCAUAUAUUUUCACUCAUAUGUGGAUCCUGAGAAACUUAACAGAAGACCAGGG